GAAGCGCGCCAGACCGCCGCUGGUGCAAUGUGGGAAACCAGGCACUGGAGGAACGUCCGGACUGCACAGGACAGCGUAGCAGCUAACGGCUGCCCACCGUGAGGUGAGGAUCAGAGCAACAGAGACGAGUUUGGGUACGGACCACCCUGGGUGUUCUGUGGGUCGCCAGCGAAAGCUGGUGCCGGAUGGCGCAAGCCAGACGGUUCCCGGCGAAAGCCGGGAAAGCCCACAGCCACCUUGGGCGCGUUCCGCGCCCAAGGUGAAACGGGCAAUCUCUACGCGCAGCAAUACCAAGUAGGCCAACGUUGAUGUGGUUCCGCAGAGUUGGCGGGUAGGUAGCAUCGAGCCGUGGUGGCGACACCCGGCCCAGAGUAAUGGCGGUCACGCCGCGGGCAACCGUGGUGCACAGAAUCCGGCUUAUCGGCGCGCUUCACAC
rnacentral:RNase_P_RNA from 1 species